UCUAACCUUAAUUUUAAACCUAUUACGCGACGAUCUCACAACCAAUGGUUAAGUGUCUAUAUAUACGAAUCGUAUGAAGCCUUAGGCUCAAGAGCCGAAUUUUAGUAGGACUGACCUAGGAGAUUUUCAUGACUGUUCAUGGAUCAGCUUGAUCUCUGCAACCGCAUUCGGACGCUCAAUUUCUACUAAAGCGAAGAUAAGUAACAAGUCUAUGCAGUCAUGUAGGCGUUCGCUUUCUCAAAAAUAGUUGCUUAUUUUUGAUCGUCGCUACUAUGAAGUAUAAUAAUAUUUUCUAUAUAUUCAGAACACUAAACCGUUGGCAGUGGAAUCGACGCUUUAUUAUAUCUUUUUAAUUUUUUCUAUGUGAUCACUUUAAUUCAUGGAUAUGCUAUGGAUAUUCAUGGAUAUUCAGGCACACAACUAAAGAAUAUUUGAAACUUUAACAUAAUCCUUAUCUGUUCUAGGAUUAUGAAAUUGGAGAAAUAGGUCUAGAAAAGUAUAGCUCUAUGAAAGAAACGUAAACUUCUUGUAUUUAAAGUGUUAAAGUUUAAUUAGUAAAUAUUGAAACCGUCAGCUGUGAUUUUACAUUUUGCACCUACUUAUAUCUUUAACGAUUUAUUUUAUUUAAAAUUUAAAAAUAAAUGUGUGCCAAAUACAAACUCGAAAUGAAUAUUUACUCAAUUCGGUUCAUAUUCUACUACGAAUUAAUAUUAUUGGUUUUUCGUAAAUUGCAUGAUGAAAUGGAUCAAUGUUUGCAUGUAUUUUGUUUAGAAGAUUAUUAGGUACGUUUUGUUGUGAUUUAAGAUUUUAUUAACUCGUAAGAAAUGUGUGCUUUUAAACUUAAAUAUUUAAAUGCUCGAUGUUUAUUUCCACAUACUUUACGUUUUUAGUUACUAAGUACCUUAUAUUAUUCUCAUUUAUUGCCCGUUCAAUAAUAUUAUGUUAACGUGUAAUUUUUCUAUACUUACUUAUUUAUAUUUUAAAACUUUUUUAACUCAUUGUUUAUUUAGUUAGUAUUGUGUGUUAACAUUACUCUGUUAUUCCUUAGAAUAAUCACAUUUUUUGUUUUACACUCGUUAACAUAGGUCUAUUACAAAGAGAUCGCACAGAGCCGCCAGAGCCGCAUAACUAAAGAAUAACGUCAGCAGCAUUGGGCCAGCCGUAACAAUUAUAAGCAGAGGCAGAAGUCACGUAAGCGCUGACCUCUAGUGACGUUAUCAGCAUUCCUUUGUUGCAAUCGAAGCACCCGACUCUUGCUGCUGUCAUACGCAUUAUCAGUAUUGAAAAAUUCCUUGAGUGCGGCUCUUGCGUCUCUAGCUAGCUCUAUCUCUUUGAUAUACGAUCACUUAAGUAUUAUAGCCAGACGUAGUAUUAUACCUAAAUAGAAUCACAGCCUACCGCUAUUUUACGCUACCAUCGUCUUCGAGUCGAGACGCUGCGUUUUCUUUGAUAACAACUCAAACUAACCUUUAUUUACUUUGGAAUAAAGGUUGUGGUGAGGAUCUCAUAUGAGUUUUCUCCGUGUUUUAUUUUCUACUAAUUUCGACCGUAAUUCAACUCA